GACGUAGGGCGCGAGCGUUGUCCGGAUUUAUUGGGCGUAAAGAGCUCGUAGGCGGCUUGUCGCGUCGAAUGUGAAAACCCACGGCUCAACUGUGGGCUUGCAGUCGAUACGGGCAGGCUAGAGUUCGGCAGGGGAGACUGGAAUUCCUGGUGUAGCGGUGAAAUGCGCAGAUAUCAGGAGGAACACCGGUGGCGAAGGCGGGUCUCUGGGCCGAUACUGACACUGAGGAGCGAAAGCGUGGGGAGCGAACAGG
rnacentral:rRNA from 1 species